rnacentral:tRNA from 1 species
GAGCCUGUAGCUCAGCCUGGUAGAGCACUGCUCUGAUAAGGCAGGGGUCCGCGGUUCAAAUCCGCGCAGGCUCA